rnacentral:rRNA from 1 species
CUACGGGGUGCUGCAGUGGGGAAUAUUGGGCAAUGGGCGAAAGCCUGACCCAGCAACGCCGCGUGAAGGAAGAAGGCUUUCGGGUCGUAAACUUCUAUCCUAGGUGAAGAUAAUGACGGUAGCCUAGAAGGAAGCCCCGGCUAACUACGUGCCAGCAGCCGCGGUAAUACGUAGGGGGCAAGCGUUGUCCGGAAUGAUUGGGCGUAAAGGGCGCGUAGGCGGCCAUGUAAGUCCGAUGUGAAAGUCCUGCUUUUAAGGUGGGAAUUGCAUUGGAAACUGCGUGGCUUGAGUGCAGGAGAGGUAAGCGGAAUUCCCGGUGUAGCGGUGAAAUGCGUAGAGAUCGGGAGGAACACCAGUGGCGAAGGCGGCUUACUGGACUGUAACUGACGCUGAGGCGCGAAAGUGUGGGGAGCAAACAGGAUUAGAUACCCGGGUAGUC